AGGGAUUCAAGCACAGAAACGACAGAGAUGAAUACAUAUCUGAAAACUGGGACACAAUUCCCUAACCAGCGCCUCCAGCAAUGACGUCUAGGGUUCCGAAGAGUUGAUCUGGAGCCAAUUCAGUUGGCAGGAUACAAAGGAGAAGCCAUGUCAUAGACUAGAGAUUGUUGAACAAUACGGCGUAAAGCGUUUUGUUAUUUCAAAAAUUCAUGUCAUUUUUAAUCUUCCAGCCUGAUUCGGCCUUGCUUUUGAAGAAGCUUCAGGAUAAAUACCCGGGUUCAAUCUAUUUGGCGGUUUAUCUAUCAACAAAACCUAAUGAAUAUUUUUCUCUGGGCUAUUGGCGAUCUUCUGUUCUUCAUUUAACAUCCAGGUCUGAAUCAAUAUUAUAAUCUCCAACCAAUCAAUCCUCAUCGGAUUUUGUCUGCAAUCAAGGUCAGUUUGUAUAUGUUAUUCUUCUUUUAUUUUAAUUUUCCCUCUGUUUCAUGGUUUAGUUGUUCAUCUAUUGGCUGAUUAGGUAUUUGGUUAUCUUAUUCUCACUGUGGUUCCAAUCAAGAGGUUAUGGAUGUUCCUGGUUGUCUCCAUAUGUGUAAUAGACGACGGCUCGAACGAUUCUUGAGGUUGAAGACAACAAUGGCAGGAGGGACUUUGGCGGCACGAUUAGGGUUUUGGGAUUUUUGUUCGGGUUUUACGGGUUGGGUUAUUCGGGUUUGUGGAUGGGAAAACGUGACCUGAUAACCGACCCAUUUAAAGUUUGGGUCCAAUGCUUCUGCCGUUAUGUUAUGUUUGGAAACAUGGUACUUUCAAAUACUUUUUUUGAUCGUGGAUUUGUUCGAAAAUCUUGAAAUAGCGUUAGACUCAUUGGCGGUUUGUGGGACAAUACUCAGAUGUGUGUUGAUGAUAUCAAUCGGGUUUAAUGCUGCCACAAGGGACGGAGUUUGCCGGAGUUGGAACUUGCUAGAGCUAGACGAUCGAUUUAGCGAGCGGCUACUGUUCGUAACCUUUCUCAGCUUUUGCAAAACGUUGAGGUUUUGUCCGGUGAUAUCUACCAUAACCCCGGCGAGUUUUAUCAGCAAGGAGUUGUGAAGCAGAGUUGGAUGAUCAAAUCUGUAUGUAUGGAAAACCGGCAUCUACAAAAAGUUGAUGAUGAUAAUGAUACUAAUCUUGGAUUCACAAAAUAGAAUGUCUGCUUAAAUAGUUACACGUGCAGCGAUUAAAACUCUUGAUUUUAAGAGGAUUACUGAGAUUGCUGGAGUGGUGGUUUCAUCAAAGUCUUUGAAAAUAAUUUCUUUAUUAAUGUCAUUCGUUGCAAAUUCAAGUAACAACAUAUUUUAAUAUAAUUUAAAAAAACACAAAUCAAUAAAAUAACUUGUAUGGGUUUAGAAAACAUUCUUAUAUUGAGAUCUCAUUAUCAAUUAAAAAUGAAUUAACUUUACAUGAAAACUUUGAAUACAUAUGGAGUCUAAGUUGGGAUACUUAUGAAACCGAACUAAAAAUUUGUGGUGGAAAAGGGAAAGAUGAUAUUUAAGAGGUUCAAAGUGUUAUUUAUGUAUUUUUUUAACAAGCUAAUUAGAAUAAGAGACUACAAAUACCUUGAUUUUUUUAAUGAUUUUUCCCCUUUAUUGUUUAGGAUUGUUUGUUACUGCCGAUGAGAUUAAUGUGGGCAUCUCAGUCAAUUAGACUACAAAUUAACCAUUGAAAGGUGAGUUAGUUGAAUUUGGAAAAAAGAUACAAUGAUAGAGAUCAAGCAAAUUCAUGGUUUCGUGGUUUAAAACUGUACUUUUCUCGCUUUGUUGUUUUAAAAUUAAGGAAUUUGGCUUGAGUUGUAGUCAUAUAAGUUUAAUAAAUUUUGGCCUUAUUGAGUUUUUACACUAUAAUUUGUUUAACCAAGUGAUAUUAAGCCUAUAAUAAUUGAUUUUGUUA